GAAAGCAAAUGAUGAAAUUAAAUCUUAUCCUACACACCGAACUGUAUAUGUAGAUUAUAUCUCACAAUUUUGUUAUCUGAUGCUUUC